UUGAGAACAAUUUUCGUCAAAAAUUGCUUUUUUGAAGGAAAUUGGAUGCAGUGCUGUAAGCAGAAACGUCAAAAUUCUGCCAAAAAUGCAAUUUUUGACGAAAAUUUCUCC
rnacentral:pre_miRNA from 1 species